rnacentral:tRNA from 1 species
GUAGCUCAGUGGCAGAGCACUUGCCUAGCAUGUGUGAUGUUCUAGGUUCAAUCCCUAGC